CGCGCGGCGUCCCCGUCCUGGCGAUGACGGUUUUUUCUCUCUGUUAUUGGAAUUGAUUUUGUUAGGAGUCGCCACCUAGUAUUUAAUUGAGGGUUACUAGGAAACCCAGGUUGACUGGUCUUAUCAGAGAUUCACGGGUAAGGGACUGAUUGUGGUUAGGGAAGGUAUUAGCACCCCUAACGCACCCUACCUGAGGUAAGCUGCUUCGUGGUUGUGAUGUGUUAAAGAAGUUUUAAAAAUUGUCUUUUCGUCGGAAUUUAGAAAUACAACUUUCGUACAAGUUUGUACUUCUACACCGAGAUCCGAUCAAAAUAUUAAAUCCUUCUUUAUGCUUUGCCGUCUCGUUGUAAAAAGAUACCUGAAAUAAAUACAAACAUGCAUUUUUUUUGUUUUCUUUCUUGCCUUUUUUAUUUUUUAUAACAUAAUAAAAAACAAGCACAAACACACAUUUUUUAUUAUAUUAUAUUUUUUUCUUUUUUUUUUCCUUUUUUUUCUUCUUUUUUCUUUUUUUCUUUUUUUUUACAUCCUAAAUACAAAUUACAAUAUUCAAAAAUAAAUAAAAAAUACAUCAAAUAAUCCAAAAUUUACAAAACAGUCCUAGAACAGUCUGAAAUUGCAAGGGAACCCUUCUGCACAGGAAUUGGAGACAGGAACAGCUGGCGGCGCGUGUUCCAACGCGCCACCGUCACUGGCGGCGCGUGAGCCCACGCGCCGCCGCUGAUGGAGACCAAAAAUCAGUGGAUCGGGCCUGUCUUCCUCCACCGGCGGUGAGAGUCACCGUCACCUGCAACAGCAAGAAAAAACACACACAAAGCAAUCGGUUUUAGUUGUUCUUCAUUUUUUCUGUGCUGCUCUUUUUCUCCGUUUUGGGGCAGAUCCGUUCGUUUCUUUUCCUUUCCUAAUCUCCUCUGUUUCGCCGCUGGGCUGGAGAAAGGAGUUGUUGGGCGGUUGGCAGGAGAGGAAGAAGACAGCGGGGGCUGCCGCUGCGCUUGGUGGAGGAGCUGGAGACGGCGCCGAAGGAGAUGAUGAAGGCUGUUGUUGGCAGCGGUGGUUGGCCUUGUUGCUGAGUGCUGCUGCCGAUGCUCUUGGUGGAGGAGAUGGAGCGCCGGCUGGAGUGGGGCUUGCUGGAGCUGGAUCGGAGUGGGAGGAGCUGCUACAGGUGUGGGUUUCUCCAGGUGUGGCCGGCGGUUCUUGAUGGAGGCGACGAGGUGGCCGGCUAUGUAGCAGCUGUGGCUUGGAGAGAGUCCGGCUGGAAGAAAAGGGAAGGGAUGAUGGCGCCGGUUUGAGGGAAAAAUGGAAGGGGAGAGGCCUUGGUCGGGUGUGUGUGUUGGUUUGAGAAAAGAAGAUGAUGGUGGAACCGGCUGCGAAAUUGGAGGUUUGUGCAGGCGGCUGAAGAGAAAACAAAACCGAAAAUCCAACAAAGAAACAGGGGGGGCGGCGGCUGCCCUGGAAGAGAAGAAGAUUAGGUUUUUUUUUUAGGGUUAGGUUUGUUCUUCUUUUUUUGUUGUCAAAAAUGCCCCCCUUGCUUAGCUGAAAAUGAAGGCUAUUUAUAGGCAAAAUAGUUUUUUCGGGCUUCAAAAUUGGUCCCUCAAGUUUUGUGUUUGGCCCCCUAAUUUCAAUCAAUUCACUUGGUAAAAAUUAAAUUGGGUCUCUUAAAAUUCUGAUUUUUUAAUUAAGUCCAAAUUAAGCCCCCAAACUUAAUUUUUCACCAAUUAAGCCCUCAAAUUAAUUUGACCCGCUUAAAGUAUAAUUAAGUCCUUGCACUUAAUUAAAUCCUUCAAUUGGACCCAAAUUAAUUCUUGAACAUAAUUAAAAUUCAAUUUGGCCCAUGAUUAAAUCAAAUUGGCCCAUUGAAAAUUUAAUUAUGUCAUUGGACUUAAUUCUUAUGCAAAUUCGUCCAAUAAUCAUUUAAUUUGACCUUUGAAUUUGCAUUUUUUCUAUUUUUGGGCGUAACAGCGUACACUUGGGCCUUGAGAUUCUUCCGAAAAUUGCAUCUUGAUUUUCGCCUAUUUUGCAGCCUUUCUUGGUCGGCUUUCUCCGCAUUUCCAGCCUUUAUUAUAUUUUUUAUUUUUUAUUUUUUUGGGAAAAAAAAUGAAUUUUGGGGAAUCACCCAAAAUUGGGUGAUGACAGUUGCCCCCCUCUUUACAAUGCUUACGGUAGAAAGUCUCGUAAGAGACUUUAGAUAGUAAGCGUUGUAAAGAAGAAAAAAAAGGAUGAGAUAUGAUUGACUCAUCUUGUUGAGGAAUGAUGAAUCCUCAGGAGGGCUAGGAAGCACACUCGGAGUAAAAACUGGAAGAGUUUUUGAAAAUUCAAAGAUUUUGCAAUGGUCGAACUGUCAUGGGUGACCUACCCGAUGAAAUUUUUUUGAGGUGGUCUCAUUGUAAAGGGUGACCUACCUAGGUGAAAAACACGAAGAUUUUAAAGUGGUGAAAAAUACAGAGAUUUUUCAAGGUGGUGAAAAUGCAAAGAUUUUCCAAAGGGGUGAAAAAUACAGAGAUUUUUCAAAGUGAGGAAAAAUACAAAGAUUUUUCAGAAGGAAGGAAAAAUACAGAGAUUUUUCAAAGGUGGUCUUGUUGUAAUGAGCGACUUGCCCGGGUGAAAAAUGAAAAGAGUUUUCAAAGCGGUGAAAAAUACAAAGAUUUUUCAAAGCGGUGAAAAAUACAAAGAUUUUUCAAAGUGAGGAAAAAUACAAAGAUUUUUCAAAAAGGGUGAAAAAUACAGAGAUUUUUCAAAGUGUUUUCAUGGGAAAAAUUUGAAGGUGGUGAGAAACGCAAGGAUUUCUCAAAAAUGGUUUUAUUGUUAUGGGCAACCGGCCCAAAUGGAAGAUGAAAAGUGUUUUGAAAGAGGUCUGAUUACAAUGGGUGACCUACCCGGGCAAGAAGACAAAAUGUCUGAAAAGGAUGACAUGAUAGGACUCGAUGGGGAACAAGGGCUGAAGAGCGCACUCGAAAGGAGGUAGGGUUAGAAAAACACGCUACCUAAGGUGGUUGUUGGCCCUAAGGCGUACUAAGAAGGAGGCAGGGUUGGAAAACGCAUUACCUAAAGUGGUUGAUGGCUCGAAGGCGCCCUAAAAAAGGAGGCAGGGUUAGAAAAACACACUACCUAAGGUGGUCGUUGGCCCUAAGGCGCACUUAAAAAGAGGCAGGGUUCGAAAACGCAUUACCUAAAGUGGUUGGUGGCUCGAAGACGUACUAAAGAAAGAGGCAGGGUUGGAAAACACACUACCUAAGAGGUUCGUGGCUCGAAGAGGCACUAAAAAAGGAGGCAGGGUUAGAAAACACACUACCUAAGGUGGUUGAUGGCUCGAAGGCGCACUAAAAAGGAGGCAGGGUUAGGAAAACACACUACCUAAGGUGGUCGUUGGCCCUAAGGCGCACUUAAAAAGAGGCAGGGUUCGAAAACGCAUUACCUAAAGUGGUUAAUGGCUCUAAGGCGCACUAAAAAGGAGACAGGGUUAGGAAACACACUACCUAAGAUAGUUGGUGGCUCGAAGAAGCACCAAAAAGGGAGGCAGGGUUGGAAAACACACUACCUAAGGUGGUUGAGGGCUCUAAGGCGCACUAAAAAAAAAGAGGCAGGGUUGGAAAACACACUACCUAAGGUGGUUGAUGGCUCGGAGGCGCACUAAAAAGGAGGCAGGGUUAGAAAACACACUACCUACGAGGGUUGGUGGUCCUAAGGCGCACUUAAAAAGAGAAGGCAGGGUUGGAAAACACACUACCUAAGAUGUGAUUAAUGGCUCUAAGGUGCACUAAAAAGGAGGCAGGGUUAGGAAACACACUACCUAAGAUAGUUGGUGGCUCGAAGAAGCACCAAAAAAGGAGGUAGGGUUAGGAAACACACUACCUAAGGUGGUUGUUGGCUCGAAGGCGCACUAAAAAAGGAGGCAGGGUUAGAAAACACACUACCUAAGAUGGUUGGUGGCCCUAAGGCGCACUAAAAAGGAGGCAAGGUUAGAAAACACACUACCUAAGGUGGUCGUUGGCCCUAAGGCGCACUUAAAAAGAGGCAGGGUUCGAAAACACAUUACCUAAAGUGGUUGGUGGCUCGAAGGCGCACUAAAGAAGGAGGCAGGGUUGGAAAACACCCUACCUAAGAGGUUGGUGGCUCGAAGAGGCACUAAAAAAGGAGGUAGGGUUAGGAAACACACUACCUAAGGUGGUUGUUGGCUCGAAGGCGCACUAAAAAAGGAGGCAGGGUUAGCAAACACACUACCUAAGAUGGUUGGUGGCCCUAAGGCGCACUAAAAAGGAGGCAGGGUUAGAAAACACACUACCUAAGAUGGUUGGUGGCCCUAAGGCGCACUAAAAAGGAGGCAGGGUUAGAAAACGCAUUACCUAAAGUGGUUGGUGGCUCGAAGACGCACUAAAGAAGGAGGCAGGGUUGGAAAACACACUACCUAAGAGGUUCGUGGCUCGAAGAGGCACUAAAAAAGGAGGCAGGGUUAGAAAACACACUACCUAAGGUGGUUGAUGGCUCGAAGGCGCACUAAAAAGGAGGCAGGGUUAGGAAACACACUACCUAAGAUAGUUGGUGGCUCGAAGAAGCACCAAAAAAGGAGGUAGGGUUAGGAAACACACUACCUAAGGUGGUCGAUGGCCCUAAGGCGCACUCAAAAAGGAGGCAGGGUUGGAAAACACACUACCUAAGGUGUGAGGGCUCGAAGGCCCACUAAAAAAGAAGAUAGAUAGGGCUAGAAAGCAUUCUAUCUAAGGUGUGAGGGCUCGAAGGCCCACUUAAAAGGAUAGAUAGGGCUAGAAAGCCCACUAUCUAAGAUGUGAGGGCUCGAAAGCCCACUCAAAAAUGGAGGUAGAUAGGGCUAGAAAGCAUACUAUCUAAAUGGUGAGGGCUUGAAAGCCCACUAAAAAAUGGAGGCAGGGUUAGAAAACACACUACCUAAGGUGUGAGGGCUCGAAGGCUCACUCAAAAAGAAGGUAGAUAGGGCUAGAAAGCAUACUAUCUAAGUUGUGAGGGCUCGAAAGCCCACUAAAAAGGGAGGCAGGGUUAGAAAACACACUACCUAAAGUGUGAGGGCUCGAAGGCCCACUAAAAAAAAAGGUAGAUAGGGCUUGAAAGCACACUACCUAAGAUGUGAGGGCUCGAAAGCCCACUCAAAAAAGGAGGCAGGGUUAGAAAACACACUACCUAAGGUGUGAGGGCUCGAAGGCCCACUAAAAAGGGAGGCAGGGUUAGAAAACACUCUACCUAAGGUGUGAGGGCUCGAAGGCCCACUAAAAAGGGAGGCAGGGUUAGAAAACACUCUACCUAAGGUGUGAGGGCUCGAAGGCCCACUCAAAAAGGGAGGCAGGGUUAGAAAACACUCUACCUAAGGUGUGAGGGCUCGAAGGCCCACUAAAAAGGGAGGCAGGGUUAGAAAACACUCUACCUAUGGUGUGAGGGCUCGAAGGCCCACUAAAAAGGGAGGCAGGGUUAGAAAACACUCUACCUAAGGUGUGAGGGCUCGAAGGCCCACUCAAAAAUGGAGGCAGGGUUAGAAAACACUCUACCUAAGGUGUGAGGGCUCGUAGGCCCACUAAAAAGGGAGGCAGGGUUAGAAAACACUCUACCUAAGGUGUGAGGGCUCGUAGGCCCACUAAAAAAGAGGCAUGGUUAGAAAACACACUACCUAAGGUGUGAGGGCUCGUAGGCCCACUAAAAAAAGAGGCAUGGUUAGAAAACACACUACCUAAGGUGUGAGGGCUCGAAGGCCCACUUAAAAAGAAGGUAGAUAGGGCUAGAAAGCAUACUAUCUAAAAUGUGAGGGCUCGAAAGCCCACUCAAAAAAGGAGGUAGAUAGGGCUAGAAAGCCCACUAUCAAAAUGGUGAGGGCUUGAAAGCCCACUCAAAAAUGGAGGUGAUGGUGAGACACUAUGUCAAGGAUGAAAGCGAUGUAUCAUGAUCAAUAUGCAUGUAUACUUACCUGAGAAAUGUAGGUCCCCUUUCUUCAUGGAGUUCCCUUUUCUACAUGGAGUUCUCUUUUCUUCAUGGAGUUCUCAUUUUCUCAAAAGUUUGAGUCUCUGAUAGUAAGCUUCGAUGGCUUUUUUCGCUCUUGCUUACUCGAGUCAUCUCUUGUGAUAUUAACCCCUAGGAAAGACUUGAUAUCAUCAUACUUCUUUGUCCUCCGCCCCUUUAUCUCAAGAGUUGCCAAUUUUGCCCAAUAAUUUCUCAGAAAGGGAAUCAUGGAGCCAACCUUACUAGGAGUUUUUGGUUGCCCUCCAACUUGAUCAUGCCCCCAAGUAUUCAAAUCAGGUUUGGGGAUAAGGCUAUAUGAAGGAAGGUUUGGUUAUUUACAAGGAGUUGUUUUCAUGCAGAAUUUUUGGAAUUUCAAAGCUAUUCCACGAACAGAAAUCAUUUUGACAUCGAUUCAAAGCAGAACUCAUUCUGACAAAAUUCAAGUGAUUCCUAUGGAGAGGUUUUCAGAAGUGAUGAAAACUUUUUGUUUUGAUUUUUGGUGAAAAAUAUGAAGUGACAUUUGGUUGGUCACAAAAGGUUGAAAUUUCAAUUUGAGGGUUAAUGAGAACCGUUUUUCGACGAAAAUGUGAAAAACACAAAGUGACAUCUGGUGGGUCACAAAAGGUUGAAAUAUCAAUUUAAGGGUUAUUGAGAACCGUGUUUCAAAGCAUUCAUUUUAUUUGCAUGAAUAAUGAUUUUGUUUCGCAUGAGAAAGCACUGCCUACCGAUCCAAAUUGCUUGCCUUUGAUUAGAAAGGGCUUGAUUAGGCACGUAAUGUAGGCUUGGGCUAUUGGCUAUGAAGAAAAGGAUAUUCGUAGGCUCAAAAGGUGUUUAAGGGACUUUAAGACUAAGGAUCACUAGUGCUUAUAUCCCAAACUCUUUUGUUCAUACACUUCUGGACCUUUGAUUUGAUUUGUAAAAUGGUCCACGGUGCCCCCCAAUGUUGGGCUUGGGCUCUUUCUCUUUGUUUUUGUUUUCUUCAUUUGAUUUUGAGCACCAUUGCAUUGACUCUUUUUUUAUGCUCAGAAUUUUGGAUCCUUUGGAUUUUUUAUGCCCCCCCAGCUUUGUAUGGGCACCUUCGAUUGAUUGAGAAUUUUGUUUUAUGCCCCCUAGUAUUGUUUGGGCACUUUCAUCGUUGAAGACUUUUUAUGCCCCCCAGUGUAGGGUGUGAUCCUAGUCAAGGUUAUUUCCAAAAAACACUACUAGGCUCAAAAGGGGACUGCAAAGGAUAUAUUUUAGCCUUGUGAGAGGAUUAUCAAAGAUGGCCUUUCUUCAUCUCAAAUGCAUGCAUUUAGGAUCGGUAAGCCUUGCUUUCAUGCGAGUAUGCAGAGUGACUUCUCAUUAUUCAUGCAAAUAAAACUCCGCUUUUGGAGUCACUUCACGGUGUUUUUGUUUUUUUGGGUUUUCUUGGUGUAUGGUUACCUCUCUAAAGAAUCACCUGAAUUUCCAGAACUUGUUUGUUUUGGACAAACACCAAUAUGAUUUCUGUUUUUGUACUACACUUUGAUUUCCCAAAAAUCCUUGUGAAAACAUAGGGUCAUGCUUGUUGUUUUGGGAAAAAGGAAAAACACGCCCAAAGAUUCUUGGCGUAAUGGUUUUGUAAGUACAAAGGUGUGCUCAAUAUGUUAUUUGCAUGAACACAAAAAAAAGAAAACACAUGAUUUAUUAACAGGAAAGGCUCAUUGGACAAGGAAAAUCUUGUGGAAUUUUAAGCCAAAUUAUCGACAAAAACUGGAAUAGGUUGAAAAAAUCAAGAAAUUUUUGCAGGCAUGGUCAAGCAGGGGUAGCCUUCGAAUUUUUUUUUUUUUUUUUUAGCAGAACAAGAACUGGCUCCAUUCUGCGGUGCAAUUCCCCUUCGGAUUGUGUUGAGGCUUUUGAUCAUGUUUGCCCCCCAGUUUCUUUGGGUUGAGUUGUUGUUGGGGUUUGAACAAAGAUGAUAGGUCAAUUGGAAGGAAUUUCCCUAGAGAUAUUUUUUGAUAUUUGCUCGAGUAAGCCAGAAGCGAGUCAAGCUUUUGUUUAGAGACUCCAACUUUUUUUUGAAAAUGGGUGAUGCUGCGAGCACACUCUGUAUCUCCAAUGUUUUUUUUUUCGCUCAAAAUUGGGUGUUGCAGACUCAUAGGGGACCCACUUUUUAUUCUGGAGCAUGCAUGAGAAAAUGUAUGAACAUGCAAUUUAUAUUAUGAACUUGCCCUUCGAGGGGUGACAUAUGAUCGUCACUUUUGUAUGAUGGAACAAGAAUCUUGAUUCUUGCCCAAACUCUACAAUGAAAAUUUUCGGAGUGACGAUCAUUCUGUCACCCAAGAUGCUUCAAGAAGGGUUCGCCCCAAUGCAGAUAAAUGAUAGCACAUACAACCUAAGGACAGGAUCUAUUCAUUAUGUGAACAUGGGUAGGUUUUCUACCUGGUCUCAAAAGGGUCUAUGAACUGCCCAGUGACCACCUCCCGUGAAGGCAGUAUAGGGGUUUACAAGGGAUGGUUGGGGCACCCUGUGACCGCCAUUACCAAGUAAACACUCAGCUCAUAGUUGGAUGUUUCACGAAUCUGAACCCCGACUGAAAGUCAUGAGGCAGACCGCUACUCCCCACCUAGCUUAGAAACUUGUGUGUGCUUUCAAAAAUGAAUACAAGUGAUGCAUGAAACAAUUCUAAAAAUGCAUGGAUAAAAUAAAACAAGACAAAAAUGGCAAAAAUUAAACACAUCAAAUACACAAAGCUUAGUCCAAUAUUGUCAGAAACAAUACCUCCCCAGUGGAGUCGCCAUUCUGUCGCGCGUCGGAAAACACCCCGCGCGGGGCGUCCGCUUCCUGGCGAUGGCGGUUUUUUCUCUCUGUUAUUGGAAUUGAUUUUGUUAGGAGUCGCCACCUAGUAUUUAAUUGAGGGUUACUAGGAAACCCAGGUUGACUGAUCUUAUCAGAGAUUCACGGGUAAGGGACUAAUUGUGGUUAGGGAAGGUAUUAGCACCCCUAACGCACCCUACCUGAGGUAAGCUGCUUCGUGGUUGUGAUGUGUUAAAGAAGUUUUAAAAAUUUUGUCUUUUCGUCGGAAUUUAGAAAUACAACUUUCGUACAAGUUUGUACUUCUACACCGAGAUCCGAUCAAAAUAUUAAAUCCUUCUUUAUGCUUUGCCGUCUCGUUGUAAAAAGAUACCUGAAAUAAAUACAAACAUGCAUUUUUU
rnacentral:lncRNA from 1 species